AGAGUUUGAUCCUGGCUCAGGAUGAACGCUGGCGGCGUGCCUAACACAUGCAAGUCGAACGAUGAAACCGCCCUCGGGCGGACAUGAAGUGGCGAACGGGUGAGUAACACGUGACCAACCUGCCCCUUGCUCCGGGACAACCUUGGGAAACCGAGGCUAAUACCGGAUACUCCUCGCCCCCCUCCUGGGGGGCCCGGGAAAGCCCAGACGGCAAGGGAUGGGGUCGCGGCCCAUUAGGUAGUAGGCGGGGUAACGGCCCACCUAGCCCGCGAUGGGUAGCCGGGUUGAGAGACCGACCGGCCACAUUGGGACUGAGAUACGGCCCAGACUCCUACGGGAGGCAGCAGUGGGGAAUUUUGCGCAAUGGGGGAAACCCUGACGCAGCAACGCCGCGUGCGGGACGACGGCCUUCGGGUUGUAAACCGCUUUCAGCAGGGAAGAAAUUCGACGGUACCUGCAGAAGAAGCUCCGGCUAACUACGUGCCAGCAGCCGCGGUAAUACGUAGGGAGCGAGCGUUAUCCGGAUUUACUGGGUGUAAAGGGUGCGUAGGCGGUUUGUUAAGUCAGAAGUGAAAUUUAGGGGCUCAACCUCUAAGCUGCUUCUGAAACUGAUGAACUAGAGUGUGGGAGAGGAAAGUGGAAUUCCGAGUGUAGCGGUGAAAUGCGUAGAGAUUCGGAGGAACACCAGUAGCGAAGGCGGCUUUCUGGACCAUAACUGACGCUGAGGCACGAAAGCGUGGGGAGCAAACAGGAUUAGAUACCCUGGUAGUCCACGCCGUAAACG
rnacentral:rRNA from 1 species